GCCAGCGGCUAUAACACGUUGACUGCACAAGUGCCCAAUUGCUCGCAGAAGUUUAGUAACGUUGCGCGGGAUGGGAAAUCAUCUGGGGCAAUCACGUGCUGCUGUCU
rnacentral:rRNA from 1 species